rnacentral:rRNA from 1 species
UACGUAGGGUGCAGGCGUUAAUCGGAAUUACUGGGCGUAAAGCGUGCGCAGGCGGUUUCUUAAGUCAGGGGUGAAAUCCCAGAGCUCAACUCUGGAACUGCCUUUGAUACUGGGUGUCUUGAGUAUGGAAGAGGUGAGUGGAAUUCCGAGUGUAGAGGUGAAAUUCGUAGAUAUCCGGAGGAACACCGGUGGCGAAGGCGGCUUCCUGGACCGACACUGACGCUGAGGCGCGAAAGCUAGGGGAGCAAACAGG